UACGUAGGGCGCAAGCGUUGUCCGGAAUUAUUAUUCUUAAAGAGCUCGUAGGCGGUUUGUCGCGUCUGCUGUGAAAACCUAAGGCUCAACCUUGGGCUUGCAGUGGGUACGGGCAGACUAGAGUGCGGUAGGGGUGACUGGAAUUCCUGGUGUAGCGGUGGAAUGCGCAGAUAUCAGGAGGAACACCGAUGGCGAAGGCAGGUCACUGGGCCGCAACUGACGCUGAGGAGCGAAAGCAUGGGGAGCGAACAGG
rnacentral:rRNA from 1 species